UACGUAGGAGGCAAGCGUUGUCCGGAAUUACUGGGUGUAAAGCGCGUGUAGGCGGCCUGGCAAGUCCGCUGUGAAAACUCGAGGCUUAACCUCGAGACGUCGGUGGAAACUGCCUGGCUAGAGUCCGGAAGAGGAGAGUGGAAUUCCUGGUGUAGCGGUGAAAUGCGCAGAUAUCAGGAAGAACACCCGUGGCGAAGGCGGCUCUCUGGGACGGUACUGACGCUGAGACGCGAAAGCGUGGGGAGCGAACAGG
rnacentral:rRNA from 1 species